rnacentral:rRNA from 1 species
AGAGUUUGAUCAUGGCUCAGGACGAACGCUGGCGGCGCGCUUAACACAUGCAAGUCGAGCGAGAACCGGUCCUUCGGGACCGGGGAAAGCGGCGAACGGGUGAGUAACACGUGAGUAAUCUGCCCUCGGCACCGGGAUAGCCCGUGGAAACGCGGAUUAAUACCGGAUGGCCCGCCGGCCCUUCGGGGCUGUCGGAAAAGGUAGCUUCGGCCUCUGGCCGAGGAGGAGCUCGCGGCGGAUUAGCUUGUUGGCGGGGUAAUGGCCCACCAAGGCGACGAUCCGUAGCUGGUCUGAGAGGACGAUCAGCCACACUGGGACUGAGACACGGCCCAGACUCCUACGGGAGGCAGCAGUGGGGAAUCUUGCGCAAUGGGCGAAAGCCUGACGCAGCGACGCCGCGUGCGGGAAGAAGGCCUUCGGGUUGUAAACCGCUUUCAGGAGGGACGAAGCCACUCGGGUGAAUAGCCCAGAGGGUGACGGUACCUUCAGAAGAAGCCCCGGCUAACUACGUGCCAGCAGCCGCGGUAAUACGUAGGGGGCAAGCGUUGUCCGGAUUUAUUGGGCGUAAAGAGCGUGUAGGCGGCCUGGCAAGUCCGCUGUGAAAACUCGAGGCUUAACCUCGAGACGUCGGUGGAAACUGCCUGGCUAGAGUCCGGAAGAGGAGAGUGGAAUUCCUGGUGUAGCGGUGAAAUGCGCAGAUAUCAGGAAGAACACCCGUGGCUAAGGCGGCUCUCUAGUACGGUACUGACGCUGAGACGCGAAAGCGUGGGGAGCGAACAGGAUUAGAUACCCUAGUAGUCC